GACAUACACGAGAACGGGCCAGAAAUGGUCAACUCUUUGGACACUCGUGAACAGGUGGUGCAUGGUUGUCGUCAGCUCGUGUCGUGAGAUGUUGGGUUAAGUCCCGCAACGAGCGCAACCCUCGUUCUAUGUUGCCAGCACGUAAUGGUGGGAACUCAUGGGAUACUGCCGGGGUCAACUCGGAGGAAGGUGGGGAUGACGUCAAAUCAUCAUGCCCCUUAUGUCUUGGGCUUCACGCAUGCUACAAUGGCCGGUACAAUGGGCUGCAAUACCGUGAGGUGGAGCGAAUCCCAAAAAGCCGGUCCCAGUUCGGAUUGAGGUCUGCAACUCGACCUCAUGAAGUCGGAGUCGCUAGUAAUCGCAGAUCAGCAACGCUGCGGUGAAUACGUUCCCGGGUCUUGUACACACCGCCCGUCAAGUCAUGAAAGUCGGUAACACCUG
rnacentral:rRNA from 1 species